rnacentral:misc_RNA from 1 species
UCAGCUCUAACCAGGGGCAUGUCCUCAUCUUCCCCUAACAUAUAUUCAACUUGUUCCUGGGCAGAAAUUUUAAGUUCAUCACCAAAUGGAGGACAUGAUCCACCAAUAGAUGUGGCAAAACGAACUGCUGAAACAAAAACAUUUUUUGUAGCGCUUAAAUCUACUUGUUGGAUCCUGGCUAUAAUGGGCAUAGCUAUUGGACCCAGUUUUGAGACCAUUUUCAAGAUUUCUUCCUCUUCCUUGUCCUCCCAAGGAACGGCCUCUAGGUACUGGAUGCAGCUUUUUGUGAUCUCUUCACAGCUGAAUGCAACUGAAACUUCAAGUAUACCAACAGUGGACUUGACAGAGUCCAAAGAGUCCAAAAGCGAAUCCACAGGGAGAUACAGCAAUCUCAAUAAGUUAACAUGAUGAUCAUAAUUAAAAGCUGAGCAAUGAAGCUCCACACAUGUACCAGAGUCCGGAUUAGAGAGCAAAUCAGCAAAGAACUUGCUCUUAUUAACUAGUACAGAAGAGUGUAAAUAGAAAAUUUCAGGUCUUCCAUUACAAUUUCUCAAGCGUAUGAUUAUAUCACUAGUGCUCUGGUCUCCAAAUCUGCAAGGUUUUUCUACUCCAGUUUUGUCCAUGUGUGAGUAGGAAUACAAAAUUCAUGCUUCAUGCAUUUAAAUGGAUAAAAAAUCCAAAUUGUGGCAACGAAAUGGGAGAUUUCCAAUUGGAGACUAGCGUGGGAUGCUGUAGUUUCGACAUUGCAAAACAGGGAAUUCUUCUCCAAGUAGAUACUGGCAACACAUUAGGGCUAUGAAAUUAUCGAUGAAGG